rnacentral:rRNA from 1 species
GAUGAACGCUGGCGGCGUGCCUAAUACGUGCAAGUCGAGCGAACAGACGAGAAGCUUGCUUCUCUGAUGUUAGCGGCGGACGGGUGAGUAACACGUGGGUAACCUACCUAUAAGACUGGGAUAACUCCGGGAAACCGGGGCUAAUACCGGAUAAUAUUUUGAACCGCAUGGUUCAAUAGUGAAAGACGGUUUCGGCUGUCACUUAUAGAUGGACCCGCGCCGUAUUAGCUAGUUGGUAAGGUAACGGCUUACCAAGGCGACGAUACGUAGCCGACCUGAGAGGGUGAUCGGCCACACUGGAACUGAGACACGGUCCAGACUCCUACGGGAGGCAGCAGUAGGGAAUCUUCCGCAAUGGGCGAAAGCCUGACGGAGCAACGCCGCGUGAGUGAUGAAGGUCUUCGGAUCGUAAAACUCUGUUGUUAGGGAAGAACAAAUUUGUUAGUAACUGAACAAGUCUUGACGGUACCUAACCAGAAAGCCACGGCUAACUACGUGCCAGCCGCCGCAGUAA